AAAAACAGCAAUAGCAGCUCACUCUUCCAGUGCCCCUGCAGAGCCCAUGCGGAACACAGCUGCUGCACAUCUCCAGUUGCUGCCCUCUCUACCACAGCAGAUUUUUGGGUUUUCUCUUGACCAACUUCCUGGAAAGGUCCUCGCAGGAUCCAUUUAGGACUGACAGUCUACUCUGAGGUCUCACUGAAGCCUUCUCCGCUCGAGGAUGAGCAGCUCCAACUCUCUCAGCCUGUCUUCAUCGGAGAGGAGCUCCUAUCCUAGAGACAUUUGAUCAUCUUUGUGUCCCUCCUCUGACCUGUACCAACAGACCCAUGUUCUUGAUGUGUUGAGGACCCCAGGGCUGGAUGCAGUAUUGCAGGAUUCUUUGUAGGCAGAGAAGAACAAGACAGAAAAUAUGACUCUUGUGGAAACACACAAUGUUCAAAGACAACAGCUGCAUGCACACUGCUGCAAUGUACAGUAGAAGUUAGAUUUGACACUGUCAAAUGGUUUAUUCUGAGGAAAAUGAUUGUUCUGUGUAUCCAUAAAAAAUGUAAGGAGAAAGAUUUCCAAAUACAUUUAUGAGUAUCUCAUCAUUCCUCCGCUGGCGUGUCCCCCUGUGUGUACCUACGCGCUGCUUCCCGUUUAUAUGAUGGGGAUUUUCCAGAGGGAGGAAUUCACCACUGAAGUAUUUGGAUCCUGCAACUGCAGGUACAGCUUUGGAUUUAGAAGCUGGAGCAAGCCCAGAUGCUUCCAGCUGUCGUCAAUUCCUGCUCCCUGAAUUGCUUUGGAUGCCUACUUCAGCUCCUGCAGUUAACACAUUGCCCUCCUUGCCAUUUAGCAAAGGAAAAGGGCACAAUCUUGACACUCCUCUGCUGGGCUUGCUUUGGAAGAUACAAAGGGUAGGAAAAGUUCUGUCUUGCAUGUUUAAAUAAUAAGGCCUAUAAAGCUUUUUGCGGCCUUAUAUAGAAAAAAAAGUGUUUUCUGGAGUGCUGGAAGUGCACAAAAUAGCUAUGGAGACAGACUGGACUCUGAAAUGGGUGGCCUUUUCUUCUGGAGGUCUUCCAGUGAUCUGUCUACUUCCUUUCUAAUCCCCUGUAAAUUUGUAGCUGCAGUAGCAUUUUCAUAGCUCAGGAAGGCAUUUUCCUGUUCAUCCUCUCCCUCACUGGUGACUGUAGAACAAUUAUCAAAUCUCCUCCAGUAUUCUCUGUUCUCAAGCUGAAUUGUACUUGUCUGUUUAACUGUCUUUAUUCCUGAUACAGGAGAUAUUCCCUAUGGCUAGGAUCAUACAUGUAGCAUUUCUUUGCUUGUUUUCCAUUCUCCUAUACCUUUUUAAGAUUGGGAAACCAGAAGUGUCCACACCAUUCAAGAAGUGGGCACUGUAAGAUUUUAUACCAGGGACAUAGAGAGAACUAUGAUCACCUGAGUACCUGCUCAUGGAGCAAUCUGGCAGGUGCAGGAAGGUGUUUAACCCACCUUCUUCUCACUGUGCCCUUUUAUGUCAGGGUCACUGCUGCAGAUCCUGCUCUAUGUUACGCUCCACACUACAACCUAAAAAAAGAAAAGCAUCCCUCAUAUAAAGAAAGAAGCAUCGUGAGGGAAAACACUGUCUUUGAGAAAAUUAUUUGAAACCUGAGUUUGUGUGGUCAGAUAAUUUCUAAAUUUUCUAAACCACCCACAAAACCACUCACUUCUAACUCUCCUGUGGAAAAUAAGUGCUGAAACAAAAUGAAUUAAGAAAGUGAACUUGACAGUGUCAUAUUUUAUGCCUUUAUGUUUUCA